rnacentral:rRNA from 1 species
CUUCAGGCAGNACUUCUUCCAGUUACUUUGAAAAAAUUAGAGUGUUCAACGCAGGUUUCGCCUGAAUAUAUUAGCAUGGAAUAACAUAACACGACGAGGGUCCAUUUUGUUGGCUUGCAAACCCACGUAAUGAUUAAUAGGGACAGUCGGGGGCGUCAGUAUUGUGUUGUCAGAGGUGAAAUUCUUGGAUUUACACAAGACUAACUACUGCGAAGGCAUUCGCCAAGGAUGUAUUCAUUAAUCAAGAACGAAAGUUAGGGGAUCAAAGAUGAUCAGAUACCGUCGUAGUCUUAACCGUAAACUAUGCCGACUGAGAAUGGGUACCGCUUAUACGGUAUCCGCGCUCUACGAGAAAUCAAAGUGAUCAGGUUCUGGGGGGAGUAAAAUCGCAAGGCYGAAACWUAAAGGAAUUGACGGAAGGGCACCACCAGGAGUGGAGCCUGCGGCUUAAUUUGACUCAACACGGGGAAACUCACCAGGUCCAGACACAAUAAGGAUUGACAGAUUGAUAGCUCUUUCUUGAUUUUGUGGGUGGUGGUGCAUGGCCGUUCUUAGUUGGUGGAGUGAUUUGUCUGCUUAAUUGCGAUAACGAACGAGACCUUGACCUACUAAAUAGCUCUACUUGCGAUUGCAGGUAGCUAGCUUCUUAGAGGGACUAUCUAUUACAAGUAGAUGGAAGUUCGAGGCAAUAACAGGUCUGUGAUGCCCUUAGACGUUCUGGGCCGCACGCGCGCUACACUGACGGAGCCAGCGAGUCGACCAAGCCCGAGAGGSUAGGGUAAUCUUGUGAACUCCGUCGUGCUGGGGAUAGAGCAUUGCAAUUAUUGCUCUUCAACGAGGAAUUCCUAGUAAGCGCAAGUCAUCAGCUUGCGUUGAUUACGUCCCUGCCCUUUGUACACACCGCCCGUCGCUACUACCGAUUGAAUGGUUUAGUGAGACCUUGGGAGGGCGAGAUGAGGGGGGCAACCCCUUCUGAACAUCCAAACUUGGUCAAACUUGAUUAUUUAGAGGAAGUA